rnacentral:rRNA from 1 species
CAUGCAAGUCGAGGGGCAGCAUAAAUUACUUGUAAUUUGAUGGCGACCGGCGAACGGGUGCGUAACGCGUAUGCAACUUACCUUUUACUAGAGAAUAGCCAAGAGAAAUUUUGAUUAAUGCUCUAUGUUCUUAUUUACUCGCAUGAGUAAGUAAGCAAAGCUCCGGCGGUAAAAGAUGGGCAUGCGUCCUAUUAGCUUGUAGGUGAGGUAAUGGCUCACCUAAGCUCCGAUAGGUAGGGGUCCUGAGAGGGAGAUCCCCCACACUGGUACUGAGACACGGACCAGACUUCUACGGAAGGCAGCAGUAAGGAAUAUUGGACAAUGGAGGCAACUCUGAUCCAGCCAUGCCGCGUGAAGGAAGACGGCCUUAUGGGUUGUAAACUUCUUUUAUACAGGAAGAAACCUUUCCACGUGUGGAAAGCUGACGGUACUGUAAGAAUAAGGAUCGGCUAACUCCGUGCCAGCAGCCGCGGUAAUACGGAGGAUCCAAGCGUUAUCCGGAAUUAUUGGGUUUAAAGGGUCCGCAGGCUGUUUGUUAAGUCAGAGGUGAAAUCCUACCGCUCAACGGUAGAACUGCCUUUGAUACUGGCAAACUUGAGU